GUACCCUUGGCUCAAUUGGAAGAGCAUCGGCCUACGGAGCCGGGGGUUGUGGGUUCGAGUCCCACAGGGUAUA
rfam:Naegleria gruberi genomic scaffold NAEGRscaffold_47, whole genome shotgun sequence.